rnacentral:rRNA from 1 species
GACGAACGCUGGCGGCGUGCUUAACACAUGCAAGUCGAGCGGUAAGGCCCUUUCGGGGGUACACGAGCGGCGAACGGGUGAGUAACACGUGGGUGACCUGCCUUUAGCUCUGGGAUAAGCCUGGGAAACUGGGUCUAAUACCGGAUAUGACCCUAUGGCGCAUGUUGUGGGGUGGAAAGCCUUGUGCGGCUAGGGAUGGGCCCGCGGCCUAUCAGCUUGUUGGUGGGGUGAUGGCCACCAAGGCGACGACGGGUAGCCGGCCUGAGAGGGCGACCGGCCACACUGGGACUGAGACACGGCCCAGACUCCUACGGGAGGCAGCAGUGGGGAAUCUUGCGCAAU